CUCACCCAAACCUUCUUCUCUCUAACCACUUCACCCCUUCCUAACGCAAACCUCUGGGUUUCAAAAUCUGGGUUUAAUCCUCUCAAUCAUUCUCUCUAAGGUAUUAGCCCAAACUAUCGACUCUUCCAAAGAAGCUGAUAAAUCAUGUUCUUCUUCUUCAUCUUUCUCCUCCAACCCAGGUGCUUGCAUUUUUCUUUUUUCUUUUUUUCAUGUUUGUAGCUGAACAUGAUUAAGGAGGGGUUACAUAUGAUUCUUUGUACUACAAGACAAGGACAGUCAGGGUGAAUGGGAAAAGAAGCUGCCUUUGCUGGGUUUCUUGGUUCAAUAAGAAAAAGGAGGAAGCUUUAUUUGUUUUUGGUCGUGCUUUCCUUGGGUUUCUUUGAGAGGUUGGUCUGACUGCUGUGGAAAGUUGUUGGUGGUCUUGGUCCUCUUAGGUAUGUGGGGAAGGAGGGAACUUUUUGUAUUUCUAGGCUAGGAAAGGAUUCUGUUUAUAGAGUUAUGGAGGGCUGGAACAGUGGUACUUUUUGUAUUUGUUAUGUUACUUUUUUUUCUUUUCUAUCUCAUUUGUCUAUAUUGAAUUGUGCUUAAGAACAACCAAUGUUAUUGCCCAUUAUACCUAGAUAAAUAAAUCACUUUGUUGUAUACUGCAGAA